rnacentral:tRNA from 1 species
AAGGGAGACCUAAUUCCGGUAGGAGACGAAAAAAAAGUAGUCCCAACCAAGAAUCAAUCCCAAAAGGUCGGAACGAGGUAUGAGGCUUUCAAACUAGGUUCUGGGUUCAUAAAAGACCUGAAUCAGGAACAAGGGCUAUUAGCUCAGGUGGUUAGAGCGCACCCCUGAUAAGGGUGAGGUCCCUGGUUCGAGUCCAGGAUGGCCCACCUGCACAGGUGGCAAAAACAAGAGAAGCGAGGAAUCAGCACCUUAUCUUAUCUAUAUAUAAGAGAGAAUGCUGGCUCUGAGUAAAGAGUCCAGAGGAACCUUGAAAACUGCAUAGAGCUAGGUGAAAAAGCCAAAAAAGAAGACCGCAA